UACGUAGGCAGCGAGCGUUGUUCGGAAUUACUGGGCGUAAAGAGUGUGUAGGCGGUGCUCCCAGUCUGUUGUGAAAUCUCCCGGCUUAACUGGGAGGGUGCAGCGGAAACUAGAGUGCUAGAGGGUGGGAGAGGUAAGCGGAAUUCCUGGUGUAGCGGUGAAAUGCGUAGAUAUCGGGAGGAACACCAGUGGCGAAGGCGAUCACCUGGGGUUGUUCUGACGCUGAGGAGCGAAAGCUAGGGGAGCGAACAGG
rnacentral:rRNA from 1 species